UUGCCAGCCCGCUCAGAAACUCAAGGAAUUGACGGGCCGCACAAGCGUGGAGCAUGUGGUUAAUUCGAUGAUACGCGAGGAACCUUACCUGGGCUCAAAUGUAUGUUGACGUAUUCUGAAAGGGAUACUUCUUCGGACAAUAUACAAGGUGCUGCAUGGUUGUCGUCAGCUCGUGCCGUGAGGUGUCGGGUUAAGUCCCAUAACGAGCGCAACCCUAUCAUUAGUUGCCAUCAGGUCAAGCUGGGGACUCUAAUGAAACUGCCUACGCAAGUAGUGAGGAAGGUGGGGAUGACGUCAAAUCAGCACGGCCCUUACGUCCAGGGCUACACACGUGCUACAAUGGCCGGUACAAAGGGCAGCUACCUGGUGACAGGAUGCUAAUCUCAAAAGCCGGUCUCAGUUCGGAUCGGAGUCUGCAACCCGACUCCGUGAAGCUGGAAUCGCUAGUAAUCGUGGAUCAGCCAAGCCGCGGUGAAUACGUUCCCGGGCCUU
rnacentral:rRNA from 1 species